GAUGAACGCUAGCGAUAGGCUUAACACAUGCAAGUCGAGGGGUAACGUGUUGGAAGCUUGCUUCCGAUGACGACGACCGGCGGAUGGGUGCGUAACGCGUAUGCAACUUGCCUCACAGUGGAGAAUAACCCGGAGAAAUCCGGACUAAUGUUCCAUACACUCUUAAGUACUCCUGUACAUGAGAGGAAAGAUUUAUCGCUGUGAGAUAGGCAUGCGUCCUAUUAGGUAGUUGGUGAGGUAACGGCUCACCAAGCCGACGAUAGGUAGGGGUGCUGAGAGGCAGAUCCCCCACAUUGGGACUGAGACACGGCCCAAACUCCUACGGGAGGCAGCAGUGAGGAAUAUUGGACAAUGGAGGAAACUCUGAACCAGCCAAGUCGCGUGAAGGAAGAAUGUCCUAAGGAUUGUAAACUUCUUUAGCGAGCGAGUAAGGACUUCCACGUGAUGGGAGUUUGAAAGUAGCUCGAGAAUAAGUAUCGGCUAACUCCGUG
rnacentral:rRNA from 1 species